rnacentral:rRNA from 1 species
AUGUCCAAUGGCCAUUGGAAUUUUAUCCAUCCUUCUAUUUUUCAAGAUAAUUCAGAUUUGUUGGCGACAAAGCAAAGAAAUAGGUUCGUCAUUCCAUUACAAUAUCAUCAAGAACAAGAGAAAGAACUAAUAUCCUGUUUUGGGAUUUCGAUUCAAAUCCCCCUUAUGGAUGUUUUACAUAGAAAUACUAUUUUUGCUUAUUUUGACGAUCUCCAAUACAAAAAAGAUAAAAGGGUUCAGGAAUUGUUAAAUUUAGAUAUAGGACCCUAG